GAUGAACGCUGGCGGCGUGCCUAAUACAUGCAAGUCGAGCGAACAGACGAGGAGCUUGCUCCUCUGACGUUAGCGGCGGACGGGUGAGUAACACGUGGAUAACCUACCUAUAAGACUGGGAUAACUUCGGGAAACCGGAGCUAAUACCGGAUAAUAUAUUGAACCGCAUGGUUCAAUAGUGAAAGACGGUUUUGCUGUCACUUAUAGAUGGAUCCGCGCCGCAUUAGCUAGUUGGUAAGGUAACGGCUUACCAAGGCAACGAUGCGUAGCCGACCUGAGAGGGUGAUCGGCCACACUGGAACUGAGACACGGUCCAGACUCCUACGGGAGGCAGCAGUAGGGAAUCUUCCGCAAUGGGCGAAAGACUGACGGAGAAACGCCGCGUGAGUGAUGAAGGUCUUCGGAUCGUAAAACUCUGUUAUUAGGGAAGAACAAAUGUGUAAGUAACUAUGCACGUCUUGACGGUACCUAAUCAGAAAGCCACGGCUAACUACGUG
rnacentral:rRNA from 1 species